rnacentral:ncRNA from 1 species
ACAAAAGCGACGAAUGGGAGUAGUAGAAGGACAGGCAUAGCUUUAGAGAGCUGCGGGUUGGUGAAACGCAGACUAUGUCUUCCUUCGAACUCACCCUGGAGCAGCAGAACUGAAAGAUUAUAUUCUUUAGGUUUUGACGAGUGACCUUCGUUACAAGGUGAAGAGUGGGUUUUUAAAAACCAACAAGAGUGGUACCGCGGAAAUUAAGAAGCUUUCCGUCUCUUUU